rnacentral:rRNA from 1 species
GAUGAACGCUGGCGGCGUGCCUAAUACAUGCAAGUCGAGCGAACAGACGAGGAGCUUGCUCCUCUGACGUUAGCGGCGGACGGGUGAGUAACACGUGGAUAACCUACCUAUAAGACUGGGAUAACUUCGGGAAACCGGAGCUAAUACCGGAUAAUAUAUUGAACCGCAUGGUUCAAUAGUGAAAGACGGUUUUGCUGUCACUUAUAGAUGGAUCCGCGCCGCAUUAGCUAGUUGGUAAGGUAACGGCUUACCAAGGCAACGAUGCGUAGCCGACCUGAGAGGGUGAUCGGCCACACUGGAACUGGGACACGGUCCAGACUCCUACGGGAGGCAGCAGUAGGGAAUCUUCCGCAAUGGGCGAAAGCUUGACGGAGCAACGCCGCGUAGGUGAUGAAGGUCUUCGGAUCGUAAAACUCUGUUAUUAGGGAAGAACAAAUGUGUAAGUAACUAUGCACGUCUUGACGGUACCUAAUCAGAAAGCCACGGCUAACUACGUG